rnacentral:rRNA from 1 species
CAGUAGCCACGGGAAUACGUAGGGCGCGAGCGUUGUCCGGAAUUAUUGGGCGUAAAGAGCUUGUAGGCGGUUGGUCGCGUCUGCUGUGAAAGGCCGGGGCUUAACUCCGGUUUUGCAGUGGGUACGGGCUAACUAGAGUGCAGUAGGGGAAACUGGAAUUCCUGGUGUAGCGGUGGAAUGCACAGAUAUCAGGAGGAACACCGAUGGCGAAGGCAGGUCUCUGGGCUGUAACUGACGCUGAGAAGCGAAAGCAUGGGGAGCGAACAGGAUUAGAUACCCCCGUAGUCCCUGUCUCUUAUAU